ACAGUCAGAAAUACUAGAAAUAUAUACGAAAGAUUAAGUAACGCAGCUACAAUGAUCACUGAUACAGAAAGUAUUUAAGGGUCUAGUUGGACUAGACAAUUGUUUAUUUAUUGUGUCGCAGUAGUCACAAUCAAAAGAAAUAAUUAAAUAAAAAAUUAGAAAUAAAUGGUGAACCACUUGGACCUAUAUGCUUUGACGACAUACAUAUUAAUAAGUGAGGACAAUGUCAAGGGUAACUUAAGUAAAUGUUGAAGAAAAAUGCUUGAUGAUUAUGUUUUUACGUUCUCAAUUAAAUAAGUAACUUUUCAAUUAAUUGAAAAACGAAUAUUAAUGAGUAACCAUGACUAGGAUUAAAAGAAUAAACAACCAUACUUAAACUUAGUAUUCAAUAGAUUGUUGAGAUUAAAGAGAACAAAAAUUAAGGAAACAGAUCACAGCACAAUUUCAUCAAAAAAUUGCAAUUUUUCUUCGUUUUUCUUUAUGUUUUUAUAUAAUAUAAAAAAUUGAUGAAAAGCAAGUAGUCCUUCUCUUUUUUUUUUUUUAAAGAAAAACCGAAAACAAAUGUAGAAAAGACAAGUUAGGAAACAGGUUUGUAAAACAAGCAAGCUAACCGAGAACAAAAAGAGACGCAUUUACAAGGGAUAUAAAUAUGUACAAUUGAAGGUGCGAAAAUUUUUCACAAGUCCUUGCGCACUGGGAAUGCGAUAAAAGAAAAAAACCAUAGGGAACAACCGAAGAUCCAAAGUACCAACAAAACGAAUGAAGCUCUUGCUCUAAACAUUGUUAAGAGUUAAUUUAAUCCCGGAAGGAAACAAAAGCAAUUAAUAAGAUGAAAGCGAUUAGAAACAUUGAGAGAGUAAAGAUGAAAAGUCGACGAGAGGAAGUAGACACACGCUUUAAGCGUUGAACUAACAGCAUGUGCUUUAUGGGGUCGAUUCUCUUUCUAGGAUCUCUGUUUUCAAACUGCAACUCAUCGCUGUCGCUAUCAUCAAAGUCUGGGAAUUCAUCUACUUCUGUUUGAAACCGAACAUUUUUGCGGAUUCGUUGUCGAGGAUCGCUUUGCGAAGCAGAAAUAUCAUAGAGGGGAUUUCCCGUAUACACAGGAGAGUAAGAUGUUGUUGUAGGACGAUACAUAAAGUCAAAUGAUUCAAAUUUAAUUAGAUUAAGAAUGUGCAAAAGAUAAAUUCUAUGCAAAUCGGAUCUUGGAUAUCAUAGCAAAAUACCGGCACGCUAUCUACGUUUACCGAUGGUAGUGUACACUUUUGGCUUAAUUGGUUUAUCAACUUUGAUAAAUUACAUUACAAUAUUUGUGAUACAUAACGUGUACGGUAUUGUUUUUCUGAUACUGAACGAAUUUUAUGCUAUAAUUAUGAAUGAUGGAUUAGCAAAGUCUCAUGGGUAUUUUGCCUUUCAAUUGCUAUUUUAAAAGUAAGAUUAAUUGAAAUUAAUUGACUCUUUGUAAUUCUGUAUUGGUUCUUCUUAACAAAAUCACUUUG